rnacentral:lncRNA from 1 species
UUUUUGGUGUGUAAAUUGAAUCAGAAUCUGAGUUGAAACUUUGAAACUGGAGGGUGAGGCAUUCAAGGAAAUCAUUUUUGUUUUGAACCGAAGAAGCUCCCGAAAUAGAAAUGAAUGCCAAAAGAAAAAGUGAGAGUGUACCAGCUAGAAUCUGCAUACUUUGUUUUGUUUUUAUAUUUUCAUUCUGAUUGGUUGCAUG